UAGUCCACGCCGUAAACGAUGGAUACUAGCUGUCCGGGUCCUUGAGACCUGGGUGGCCAAGCGAAAGUGAUAAGUAUCCCACCUGGGGAGUACGUUCGCAAGAAUGAAACUCAAAGGAAUUGACGGGGGCCCGCACAAGCGGUGGAGCAUGUGGUUUAAUUCGAUGAUACGCGAGGAACCUUACCAGGGCUUAAAUGCAUAUUGACAGGGCCAGAGAUGGCUUUUCCUUCGGGCAAUUUGCAAGGUGCUGCAUGGUUGUCGUCAGCUCGUGCCGUGAGGUGUCAGGUUAAGUCCUAUAACGAGCGCAACCCCUACCGUUAGUUGCCAGCAUGUUAUGAUGGGGACUCUAACGGGACUGCCGGUGCAAACCGUGAGGAAGGUGGGGAUGACGUCAAAUCAUCACGGCCCUUACGUCCUGGGGCUACACACGUGCUACAAUGGUAUAUACAGAGGGCAGCUACCUAGUGAUAGGGAUGCGAAUCUU
rnacentral:rRNA from 1 species